rnacentral:rRNA from 1 species
CGAUGAACCACUUCGGUGGGGAUUAGUGGCGAACGGGUGAGUAACACGUGGGCAAUCUGCCCUGCACUCUGGGACAAGCCCUGGAAACGGGGUCUAAUACCGGAUACUGACCCUCACGGGCAUCUGUGAGGUUCGAAAGCUCCGGCGGUGCAGGAUGAGCCCGCGGCCUAUCAGCUUGUUGGUGAGGUAAUGGCUCACCAAGGCGACGACGGGUAGCCGGCCUGAGAGGGCGACCGGCCACACUGGGACUGAGACACGGCCCAGACUCCUACGGGAGGCAGCAGUGGGGAAUAUUGCACAAUGGGCGAAAGCCUGAUGCAGCGACGCCGCGUGAGGGAUGACGGCCUUCGGGUUGUAAACCUCUUUCAGCAGGGAAGAAGCGAAAGUGACGGUACCUGCAGAAGAAGCGCCGGCUAACUACGUGCCAGCAGCCGCGGUAAUACGUAGGGCGCGAGCGUUGUCCGGAAUUAUUGGGCGUAAAGAGCUCGUAGGCGGCUUGUCACGUCGGUUGUGAAAGCCCGGGGCUUAACCCCGGGUCUGCAGUCGAUACGGGCAGGCUAGAGUUCGGUAGGGGAGAUCGGAAUUCCUGGUGUAGCGGUGAAAUGCGCAGAUAUCAGGAGGAACACCGGUGGCGAAGGCGGAUCUCUGGGCCGAUACUGACGCUGAGGAGCGAAAGCGUGGGGAGCGAACAGGAUUAGAUACCCUGGUAGUCCACGCCGUAAACGGUGGGCACUAGGUGUGGGCAACAUUCCACGUUGUCCGUGCCGCAGCUAACGCAUUAAGUGCCCCGCCUGGGGAGUAC